rnacentral:rRNA from 1 species
GACGAACGCUGGCGGCGUGCUUAACACAUGCAAGUCGAACGGAAAGGCCCUGCUUUUGUGGGGUGCUCGAGUGGCGAACGGGUGAGUAACACGUGAGUAACCUGCCCUUGACUUUGGGAUAACUUCAGGAAACUGGGGCUAAUACCGGAUAGGAGCUCCUGCUGCAUGGUGGGGGUUGGAAAGUUUCGGCGGUUGGGGCUGGACUCGCGGCUUAUCAGCUUGUUGGUGGGGUAGUGGCUUACCAAGGGUUUGACGGGUAGCCGGCCUGAGAGGGUGAACGGCCACAUUGGGACUGAGAGACGGCGCAGACUCCUACGGGAGGCAGCAGUGGGGAAUAUUGCACAAUGGGCGGAAGCCUGAUGCAGCAACGCCGCGUGCGGGAUGACGGCCUUCGGGUUGUAAACCGCUUUCGCCUGUGACGAAGCGUGAGUGACGGUAAUGGGUAAAGAAGCACCGGCUAACUACGUG